rnacentral:rRNA from 1 species
AUUGAACGCUGGCGGCAGGCCUAACACAUGCAAGUCGAACGAGUGGCGGACGGGUGCGUAAUGUCUGGGAAACUGCCCGAUGGAGGGGGAUAGCUACUGGAAACGGUAGCUAAUACCGCAUACCAUCGGAUGUGCCCAGGUGGGAUUAGCUAGUAGGUGGGGUAACGGCUCACCUAGGCGACGCUCCCUAGCUGGUCGGAGAGGAUGACCAGCCACACGGGAACAGAGACACGGCCCAGACCCCUCCGGGAGCAAGCAGUGGGGAAUAUUGCAAAAUGGGAGCAAGCCGGACGCAGACAGCCCGCGUGUAUGAAGAAGGCUUUCGGGUUUUAAAGUCCGUUCUUCAAGGAGGCGUUACUCGAAGAAGAAGCAACGGCUAACUCCGUGCCAGCAGCCGCGGUAAUUC